CUACUGGAUAAUUAUUAUAGUGGUAUCGCUUUAUGACUGUUCUAUGAAUGAAAAUAGUUACAUGAUGAAAUGUUUAACCGUUUCCUUUGACUUUCUCAAAUUAAAGUUUUUGUGACAAACAGAGCCCAAAUAAAAUGACGAAAUUGUGUGUGACGAAAUUUACAAUGUCGUCAUUGAUCCAGACUGAAAGAAGGAAAAUGGAAUAUUUCAUGACGGCCAGAGACCAUCGAGUGGAUCGUUGGUUGGGCUUUAACAAUGCUGCUUGUGACCGAGACAACAACUUAUUUUCGUGUAGUUCGUGAAACUUGAAUGUAAUAUCGGUACAAAGAGCUGAGAACUAGGCCAACCACGUAAAUGCUCUUAAAUGAAGCGCAUUCCUGCAUUCAGACAGGUUUUUUUUCCAUACAGUAGUCACUCAAAGAACAACACUUCAUGGGCCACAUUUACUCCAUCUAUUUCACUAGUGAAUUUAUUACAAAUGUUCAGUUUUAGUUAAAUCAACAAGAUUAGAAUAUUUAAAACAUAUUUUUCUACGUAUCUUAUUUGGGAUUCGUUUCGAUAGAAAUGUUACAAAACUGAGGGAAAAGUAUGAAAAUUCUAAAUAUCCAAAAAUUAGUUAAACGCACAAAAUUAAAAUAUUUCGAACAUAUUUUGCCCUUUUCUUUUGAGUCCAUUUAUCAUAAAAAUCUGAGUUUAAAGAUAUUAGAGGAACAGUACGAAAUUCUAAAAAUUCCAAUUGUUGAUUAAACUCACAAAAUUAUUUAAAAAAUAUUUUACAUAUAAAUAUUUCUUGUACAUUUAGCAUGAAAAAUAUAAUUAUCGAAGGGUUUUAGAGGUAUCUUGAACAGGCAACGAAGAAAAUUCGAGGCUGGCAAGAGCUAAGAGACGACCCUUCUCGUUAUACAACUUUUAAUUACAAUCGGUUCGAUUUCCUUUUUACCGGAGUUUCCAUCUGGGGCUUCGUUAAACACAACCGUGGAGCUGACACUCGUAACGUCCACUUAUUUUUCUCUCCGCGGCCUUUUCACAGUACUGAAUAUCCCCCUGACAUCCUUAAUUAAUGACGGAAAUACGUUGUUAGUUCUUCGAGUGGUCGAGCUCCGCGACUGUCGUUUACGUAUCAGUUUUCUCCUCCCUUCGAGACUUAUCUCAGUCAUUGCGAGCCAUUCUCACGUUCAAACGAAGUUUAAGCUAUCUGCAGCCACUGUUUAAAUAUAUUCGUAAACUUCUCUACAUUUCAAGUCUGCCAUCUAAAUGUGGAUUUGAAUAGAAUAGCACAAAGAAGAUAAUUUCUUCCACUCUAAUUUCUUCCUAUUUAUUUAUUUCUUCUUCAGUGAAUUUGAAUGGAGUGAGAUGAAGAUAAUUUCUUCCACUCUAAUUUCUUGCCAUCUAUUUUUUCUUCAUUUAUUACAUCUAACUUAGAUUUGGAUAGUCAGAAUACUGUCUAUUACUACUUUUACUUGUUGAGUAAAUAACAUGGAACUGAGACCUAUUACUCUUUCAGUGUAGGAAGAAUCUCUUCACUUCAAAGUUGCCUUUCUUUGUUACUAAAAUAUGUGACACAUUAAUACAUUUUGAAGUUUUUGACAGGUAUCUUAAAUUAUGAAAAAGAAAACCCACGAAAAUUAAAUCACUGUUAUCAUUGAGAUGUUAUCUUAUAUUGGAGAGUCCCUGUGGCUAAGCUCAGACCUUCUAAAUAGCAUUCUGAAGUUCCUGGAAUUAAGGUGAUCUUCUAAGCUUCUUAGGAGAAGUGCAAAUGAAUAUUCUAUUUCAUGCUGAUGACCCUUUAACCGCGUUCUCAGCGUCUCACGAAUCACGGCGGAUAAGAAAUUGGCAUUGUAGCGUUUAUCAGCGCAUCAGCUGGUAUCUCGUACUCUCAUUAAUGAGAAUUAUGUCAAGGAAUCGUAUCGAUUAAAGCUUAGCCUAGAUACUCGACGACGAGGCGUCGCUUCAUUGAUUUACUAUCAUGCGUUGCCUACAAAUUUACCACUCAGAUGAUGUUACUUCAAAGCGCAUUUUUGUCUUCUCGCUGGGAAUGAGCGUCACUGAAAUAGCUCAAGAAGUUAAAUUGAUAUAACAAGUCUGUGCUUCAUCUGGGCACAUAAUAUUUCAUAAAUAAAAUCCUCUUAAGAUAUGAGGUUCCUUAGUA